CUACGGGCGGCACCAGUGGGGAAUAUUGGGCAAUGGGCGAAAGCCUGACCCAGCAACGCCGCGUGAUUGAAGAAGGUCUUCGGAUUGUAAAAAUCUGUCCUUGGGGACGAAAAAAAUGACGGUACCCAAGGAGGAAGCCCCGGCUAACUACGUGCCAGCAGCCGCGGUAAUACGUAGGGGGCGAGCGUUGUCCGGAAUUACUGGGCGUAAAGGGUGCGCAGGCGGCGCUUUAAGUCAGAUGUGAAAUACCCAGGCUUAACCUGGGGGGUGCAUUUGAAACUGGAGUGCUUGAGUGCAGGAGAGGAAAGUGGAAUUCCUAGUGUAGCGGUGAAAUGCGUAGAUAUUAGGAGGAACACCAGUGGCGAAGGCGACUUUCUGGACUGUAACUGACGCUGAGGCACGAAAGCGUGGGGAGCAAACAGGAUUAGAUACCCGGGUAGUC
rnacentral:rRNA from 1 species